rnacentral:rRNA from 1 species
GACGAACGCUGGCGGCGUGCCUAAUACAUGCAAGUUGAGCGCUGAAGGUUGGUACUUGUACCGACUGGAUGAGCAGCGAACGGGUGAGUAACGCGUGGGGAAUCUGCCUUUGAGCGGGGGACAACAUUUGGAAACGAAUGCUAAUACCGCAUAAAAACUUUAAACACAAGUUUUAAGUUUGAAAGAUGCAAUUGCAUCACUCAAAGAUGAUCCCGCGUUGUAUUAGCUAGUUGGUGAGGUAAAGGCUCACCAAGGCGAUGAUACAUAGCCGACCUGAGAGGGUGAUCGCCCACAUUGGGACUGAGAAACGGCCCAAACUCCUACGGGGGGCAGCAGUGGGGAAUCUUCGGCAAUGGACGAAAGUCUGACCGAGCAACGCCGCGGGGGUGAAGAAGGUUUUCGGAUCGUAAAACUCUGUUGGUAGAGAAGAACGUUGGGGAGGGGGGAAAGCCCAUCAAGUAGCGGAAACAACCCAGAAAGGGCGGGCAAACUACGU